UGCAGCCCCAUGACUCCGGGUUUGGGGGUCCCUGGGGCACUAGGACUAGGUUCCAGACUUUCUUUUAUUCUCUCACUGGCCAAAAAUGCACUGAGCAACUUCUAAGCACUAGAUAUCACUCCAGGCAAUGAACAGUGAACUAACCCUCAGUCCUCUCCUGGGAGAACAUUCCAGAGAUGGAUGCCAAUAAAACCUCCCUCCUAGGAGUGCUGUGAGAACUAGCCAAGACGUGGUGUGUGGAGCGGACAGUGGAGACGCCUACUUCCAAAUGGGUGCUCAAUAUGUCAAAAGCAGGAACGCGUCGGUGUCCAAAAUAAAAGCCACACCCUCACCAAGAAAUAACAGCAAUGAGAAAGAAGAGGGUAGAGACUACUAAACAGGACCUUCUCAACUUUCCAUAAAAAUCCAUUUAUUUAUUCAUUGACUUAUUUGGGGGACAGAGCAGAGUAAAGAGUCUCCAUCGCCCUCUGCAUGAAAUUGGAAAAAGAUAAUAACUCACUCGAUUAGGAUUGGAAGCACUAGUGGGUUUUCCUGACUUUUAAAAUUCUUCUGGCUGUGAAAGCUUCAAGCUGCAUUCUCUACCCCCCUUGCGUUUAAAGGCUGUCUUCCAGUGGAGGUGGGACUUUGUGAGGAUAAACAGAUAAAAGGAACACAAAUGACGCCCCUGAAACAUGUGUAUUUUGGGCAACAGGAGCUCAACUGAGACAGAAGAUGGAGAGGAUGCACCCAGAGUCUAGUCCAAAGGACAAGCCCACAUGACCUGGCAGGGGCUUGCCUAGCCCUCGCUCAUCUCGUAACCACAGCUCUGAUGUGAAUCAUCAGAGAGCUGCUCCUUUCCUGAGGUCACAUGGAACAGACUCAGAAAGCAGAAUUUCUGUUCAUUCAACUGCCCCAACAUCUUCCUAACUCCUGUGUGCCUUGCAGUGUUGCGCUCAGAGGAGAAGCUGUGAACAAACCAAAACACAUCCCUGUGAGGAAAAUGAAGCCGCAUUUGAAUAACUGGAAAUAACAUGGAAAGAUCAAUUGAAAGAAA